ACCCCUUCCUCUCUCUCCCUUUCUUUUUUUCUCUCUCUCUCUCCCUUCCCUCUCUUCCUCUUCCUCACAGCCAGGGGAAAGAAAACAGCAGUAAACAACUGUCUGGCUCUUUAUUCCACAGAAAUAAUAUUCUAUUGCGUAUGUUGUUAGAAACAGUGAUUUCAUUGGAUUUCUUCUUUGUUUUGUUGAAGUCAAUUAAGAACUAAUUAUUAUUUACAAUGACAACCUGUCCAGAGGUGGAGACAACAGUUAAAUAGAACAACACAACACACAGACAUCAGACAUUAAAAGAGAUCACCAUGACAGAUACACAAGACAGAUAUACAUGGCAACAGGGCUUUCAUUGUUAGCAGUACUGCUAAAAACUCUGUGCACCUCUAUUCAGUCGAAUAGGUUUUGAUUUUGCAUUUUUUUGCAUAUGUUGAUAGAAUGAUAGAAACCAUAGUGCACGUCAGAUCUGUUGUUACUCAGACUUGUAGGAAAACCUCUGAGUUUGAGCACCUCGUUUUGUAGAUUUUGUAGUGUUAUUGAUCUUCAACCAGAUAUGAAGGAGAGGAGAAAACAUGAAGGGGAAAGAGGAAGGUGGAAGUCUUCGGGAUUGAACCCUUACCACUAGGAUUACAUCCUGAAUCCAGGAUGCAACGCUACCACUAGACCAAACUCAAACUAGUCAUGGAACAGAUAAAGUUAUUUUACAGUUCAACCUGAUUACAUUAUUUUACAGUUCAACCUGAACAGACGUCCACAUGAUGGAGAAGCAAGGAAGUCCCCGAACCCCUCUCUGGAGAGACCAACCCUCCUCCCAGCAUCACCCCUCUUCCUGGUCCAGUCCAGUGUGUAGACAACCCCUCAGGUGAUCCUGGAGAGGUGGUCUAUGACACAGACACAUUUCCCUUCAGACAUCAGCCUCCUGGUCCAGUCCAGUGUGUAGACAACCCCUCAUCCGCCUCCUGUGAAGUGUAAAUAGUGACGGUUCAUCCUCCUAGAUCUAUCUGCUGCCUUACACACCAUGAACAAUCAGAUCCUCUCACGGUUGGGUGCCUCGGGCUCUGCACACUCUUGGCUUACAGAUUGUAAAAUAAACAAACAUUUUUGCUAAAAUAAUGAUUAUAUUAUUGAUUGAUUGACUAUGGCUUUUCAAAUCACCCAGUAUUGCUAUCUGCAAUGUUAGUUCUAGGCAAAUGUUGCAUUUCUUCAGCCAUUCCUGGACCUGUGACCAAAAACAAGCUACAUAUGGACAAUACCAAAAUAAAUGAUCCAAUGACUGCCUCCUCUCAGCAAGAUCUGCAGAGCUUGGUUGCAAGAAUUUUGUAUAGUAAUUUAAAUUGAAAAAUGUAAAGCUUUGAAUCCAGCGUUGUUUUGCGUAUCAAUUCAUAAACCAUGUGCCAUGGAAUGGGUCGAAAAA